UGGGGAAUAUUGCACAAUGGGCGCAAGCCUGAUGCAGCCAUGCCGCGUGCGUGAAGAAGGCCUUCGGGUUGUAAAGCACUUUCAGCGGGGAGGAAGGCGAUAAGGUUAAUAACCUUGUCGAUUGACGUUACCCGCAGAAGAAGCACCGGCUAACUCCGUGCCAGCAGCCGCGGUAAUACGGAGGGUGCAAGCGUUAAUCGGAAUUACUGGGCGUAAAGCGCACGCAGGCGGUCUGUCAAGUCGGAUGUGAAAUCCCCGGGCUCAACCUGGGAACUGCAUUCGAAACUGGCAGGCUAGAGUCUUGUAGAGGGGGGUAGAAUUCCAGGUGUAGCGGUGAAAUGCGUAGAGAUCUGGAGGAAUACCGGUGGCGAAGGCGGCCCCCUGGACAAAGACUGACGCUCAGGUGCGAAAGCGUGGGGAGCAAACAGG
rnacentral:rRNA from 1 species